GACGAACGCUGGCGGCGUGCUUAACACAUGCAAGUCGAACGGAAAGGCCCUGCUUUUGUGGGGUGCUCGAGUGGCGAACGGGUGAGUAACACGUGAGUAACCUGCCCUUGACUUUGGGAUAACUUCAGGAAACUGGGGCUAAUACCGGAUAGGAGCUCCUGCUGCAUGGUGGGGGUUGGAAAGUUUCGGUGGUUGGGGAUGGACUCGCUGCGUAUCAGCUUGUUGGUGGGGUAGUGGCUUACCAAGGCUUUGACGGGUAGCCGGCCUGGGUGGGGGACCUGACACACUAGAACUGGGAUGCGGCCCGGACUCGGACGGGAGGCAGGAGUGGGGAAUGGUGGAUAAUGGGAGGAAGCCUGAUGGAGCAACGCCGUGUGGGGGAUGACGGCAUUCGGGUGGGAAGCCGCUUUCGCUUGUGACGGGGGGUGAGUGACGGUAAUGGGUAAAGAAGCACCGGCUAACUACGUG
rnacentral:rRNA from 1 species